rnacentral:rRNA from 1 species
AGCGAACGCUGGCGGCAGGCCUAACACAUGCAAGUCGAACGAACCCUUCGGGGUUAGUGGCGGACGGGUGAGUAACACGUGGGAACGUGCCUUUAGGUUCGGAAUAACUCAGGGAAACUUGUGCUAAUACCGAAUGUGCCCUUCGGGGGAAAGAUUUAUCGCCUUUAGAGCGGCCCGCGUCUGAUUAGCUAGUUGGUGAGGUAAUGGCUCACCAAGGCUACGAUCAGUAGCUGGUCUGAGAGGAUGACCCAGCCACAUUGGGACUGAGACACGGCCCAAACUCCUACGGGAGGCAGCAGUGGGGAAUCUUGCGCAAUGGGCGAAAGCCUGACGCAGCCAUGCCGCGUGGAUGAUGAAGGUCUUAGGAUUGUAAAAUCCUUUCACCGGUGAAGAUAAUGACUGUAGCCGGAGAAGAAGCCCCGGCUAACUUCGUGCAGCCGCCGCCGUAAUAC